AUGAACGCUGGCGGCGUGCCUCAUACAUGCAAGUCGAGCGCACAGACGAGGAGCUUGCUCCUCUGACGUUAGCGGCGGACGGGUGAGUAACACGUGGAUAACCUACCUAUAAGACUGGGAUAACUUCGGGAAACCGGGGCUAAUACCGGAUAAUAUAUUGAACCGCAUGGUUCAAUAGUGAAAGACGGUUUUGCUGUCACUUAUAGAUGGAUCCGCGCCGCAUUAGCUAGUUGGUAAGGUAACGGCUUACCAAGGCAACGAUGCGUAGCCGACCUGAGAGGGUGAUCGGCCACACUGGAACUGAGACACGGUCCAGACUCCUACGGGAGGCAGCAGUAGGGAAUCUUCCGCAAUGGGCGAAAGCCUGACGGAGCAACGCCGCGUGAGUGAUGAAGGUCUUCGGAUCGUAAAACUCUGUUAUUAGGGAAGAACAAAUGUGUAAGUAACUAUGCACGUCUUGACGGUACCUAAUCAGAAAGCCACGGCUAACUACGUG
rnacentral:rRNA from 1 species